rnacentral:rRNA from 1 species
CCUACGGGGUGCAGCAGCCGGGAAUCAUCUGCAAUGCGCGAAAGCGUGACAGUUUGAACUGGAGUGCUUUCCAAAUGGAAAGCUUUUGUGAAAUGUAAAAAGUUUUACGAAUAAGGACUGGGUAAGACGAGUGCCAGCCGCCGCGGUAAUACUCGCGGUCCAAGUCGCAGCCAUUUUUAUUGGGUCUAAAACAUCCGUAGCUUGCUUUGUAAGUUCUUUGUGAAAUCUCAUCUCUCAAGGGUGGGGAGGGCAAAGAGUACUGCAAUGGCUAGAGAUUGGAAGACGUAAGAAGUAUGUUCGAAGUAGCGGUAAAAUGUGUUAAUCUCGAACAGACUAACAAGAGCGAAGGCAUCUUACGAGGACAGUUCUGACAGUAAGGGAUGAAGGCUAGGGUCGCGAAAGGGAUUAGAUACCCCCGUAGUCC